rnacentral:rRNA from 1 species
UACGUAGGGUGCAAGCGUUGUCCGGAAUUAUUGGGCGUAAAGAGCUCGUAGGCGGUCUGUCGCGUCUGCUGUGAAAACUCAGGGCUUAACCCUGAGCUUGCAGUGGGUACGGGCAGACUAGAGUGCGGUAGGGGAGACUGGAAUUCCUGGUGUAGCGGUGAAAUGCGCAGAUAGUCAGGAGGGAACACCGGUGGCCGAAGGCGGGUCUCUGGGCCGGUAACUGACGC